CCCGCACUCACCGGCGCGGCGCCCCGUCCCGGCUGUCGGCGGAGCCCCCGCGGGCGGCCAUAAGGAGGGCGGCGGCGGCUGCGGAGCUAGCGGGAGAAAAUGCUUGUCAUGGCAACCCGCGCCGGGCCGGGCCUGCCGGGGGAGGGGCUGCCUUAAGGUGGCGGCCCGCCCCGUCCGCUGCUUAAGGGAGACGGGAGGCGGCGGGCGGGGCUGUGUCCCCCGGGCGCUGCGGGGCGGGUGCCCCCCUCGGGCGAUAUCGGUGUACCCCACGGACAUCGUCCCUCUCCCCCAGGAACCGACGUCGAGUAGUACAGGGUGGGAACUUUGUAGGUGGAGUUUUAGCCCAAAAUGAAUUGAAUCAGCCAAGUUGUAUCCACCAAGUUACAAACCCAUCAAAACCCGAGGCCAGAUCCUGAUCUCAUCUCUGCAGUCAGAGCGAUGACAGGCCCUAAAUCGAUGAAAACCCCAAUUAUCUGCUACAGAUGAGGGAGAGCUGCCCCUUCCCAGACACCUGUGGGCAGGAUGACAGGAUGCCGUGUUUGGAGCCAUGGUGAUGCCCAGGGGGAUCUGCAUGGCAUUGGUGAGUACAACUCAAAUGCCACCUCUUGGGGCCAUGGGGACACCCCUGUCCCCUCCCCAGGAAUUCAGAGGGAGGUAGGGAGAUCCUCCGCUCCACCUCAAAAUGAACAUUUUUCCCUCCAUUUCUGACCUCGUUUCAUUCGUCACAUCGAGGAGGAACCUUGUACUCGGUGUUUGCAUCACGGUAACACCUCCGGGACCUCAGUGGGACUGAGGAAAGUCCCUGCUGCUGGGAGUGACAACGCGGUGGGUAGUGUUGAAAGGGAGGAGGGAGAAGUGACAGCACGGGAGAGCCGCUCGCAUCGCUGUCACUUGCAAGCUGUCACUCCUGGGGGAGCGGAGGAGCUCUGGGAAUGGCUGGGCAGAGAGCUGUGGGUUCCCACUGGCAUUGCCCAGCAUAGGUGUACGCAGGCAUUUCGUCCACUCCAUGUGGAGUUCCAGCGUGCAGUGACAAAACUCCCUCGUCCCCUCACCCUGCACCGAUUGUCAGCCCCCCAGCAAUGCACUGCUGGUAUUUUCCAGUGAGAGGAGGAGGGUGGGAAGCAUAGGCUGCUCUGCAGCCCCAGCAGCACCGGGCAGAGCUCAGCCCUGCAGCCCCCCAGCAUGAGCUGCAGAGAGGCGGUGGAGGCAGAACACGUACGAGAUGAAAGGUGACCUCUUCCAGAAAUGGAGAAAGAGAGAAGAAAUCCAUAAACACUGCCAACCGCGUCCACGGGAAAACAAGCAACAACUGUUUUAUUUGAAUAAUAACCAUCAAUAAUACAUUGCUUAGAAGCUGCAGAUGACUGCAAUUAAAAAAAGCACCGCAUUCCCUGA